rnacentral:lncRNA from 1 species
GAGAUCUUUCGAAUAUUUCAAAACUAUAAAUGGAGGCUCUCAUCUCUUAAACAAGGAGAACUAACUGUAAUUAAAUUUCACAAACUAAAGGUUAUUUAGGAUGAACUUCACAACUUUGAACCUCCUGAAACUUCUUGUAGUUUUUCUACAAAAUCUUCUUACAAUGUUAUCUUUUUUAUCACACAAAAGGUUGAAGAUCAUGCCAUG